CACUGGGACGGACACACUAUUCAUUUCCCACCUCUGCUUUGAUAAGUAGAGAGGACAAAGCACCAACAUUCUCAUUUUCAGAGGCAGUUAAGUGACUUGUCACAGAGACGGGGAGCUGUGACAAUAAUAGGGGUCCUUUGACUCUCAGUUCCUUGCCAUCAAGUGAUUUCACAGCUGCUCAGAUCCUGACGGACACAGCGUCCAAAGGCACUCGGCGUUCAAGCUGGAUUCGGAGAUUUCCAAAUGGGGGUACAUGCCCUCUGGUAGAAAGAACAUUGAAUUUAAU
rnacentral:lncRNA from 1 species